GGGGGUGUAGCUCAGUGGUAGAGUGUAUGCUUUGCAUGCAUAAGGUCCUGGGUUUGAGGCCCAGCACCUCCA